rnacentral:rRNA from 1 species
AACGAGCGCAACCCUUAAGCUUAGUUGCCAUCAUUAAGUUGGGCACUCUAAGAUGACUGCCGGUGACAAACCGGAGGAAGGUGGGGAUGACGUCAAAUCAUCAUGCCCCUUAUGAUUUGGGCUACACACGUGCUACAAUGGACAAUACAAAGGGCAGCGAAACCGCGAGGUCAAGCAAAUCCCAUAAAGUUGUUCUCAGUUCGGAUUGUAGUCUGCAACUCGACUACAUGAAGCUGGAAUCGCUAGUAAUCGUAGAUCAGCAUGCUACGGUGAAUACGUUCCCGGGUCUUGUACACACCGCCCGUCACACCACGAGAGUUUGUAACACCCGAAGCCGGUGGAGUAACCUUUUAGGAGCUAGCCGUCGAAGGUGGGACAAAUGAUUGGGGUGAAGUCGUAACAAGGUAGCCGUAUCGGAAGGUGCGGCUGGAUCACCUCCUUUCUAAGGA